rnacentral:rRNA from 1 species
AUGCAGUCAAUCAAGGGAUGCAUUUCUUACUCUUCACGAAGGAGCUCUGACUGCUUAGAUACGCACUCAAUGGCUUAUGGCAACUCGAGGUUGUGGUUGAAUCUUCGGAUUCGUUUCACUUCCUUGGGGUGGUUACAUUGAGUGGAGUUGAGCAGGUGAAGAACUCAUUGUACGCAGUGAGUGAUUUAGAUUGUCGAUGUGACUUGCUUGCCAAGUGCUUGGUGAGAGGGUAACUUCGUCUUCUUGUAGCUGAAGUCCUUCUCGCUAUAGGUGCUUAAGUGUAGGCUUUUCAGCAUCAAUGAUGAUCCAGAGUAAGUAGGUCGGUCAUCCAUCUGACCCGUCUUGAAACACGGACCAAGGAGCCCAGCAACUGUGCGAGUCGCACAGUCUUGAAUAGGCUUGUGAGGCGUAAUAAACAUGAUGGUAUGAUACUGUCCCUCUUCACGCACAGAGUGAAGAUACAGUCGCAAUGCCGACCUGCUUCAUCUGCCUUUAUUGACAGAGAAGCGGAGUUUGAGCAUAGUUGCUGGUACCCGAAAGAUGGUGAACUAUACUUGGGCAAGACGAAGCCAGAGGAAACUCUGGUGGAGGUCUGUAGCGAUUCUGACGUGCAAAUCGAUCGUCAGACCUGAGUAUAGGGGCGAAAGACUAAUCGAACCAUCUAGUAGCUGGUUCCUUCCGAAGUUUCCCUCAGGAUAGCUGGCACAAGCAGUACUCUGUAGCACUCGGUAAAGCGAAUGAUUAGAGGUAUUGGGAUCGAAACGAUCUCAACCUAUUCUCAAACUUUAAAUGGGUGCGGAGCUUGACUUAUUUGGAGUAAAGUCUUGCUUUGUAAGAGUUGUGCCAAGUGGGCCAUUUUUGGUAAGCAGAACUGGCGCUGUGGGAUGAACCAAACACUGAGUUAAAGUACCUAAUGUGGACGCUCAUGAGACC